rnacentral:rRNA from 1 species
UAACUUAGUGGCGGACGGGUGAGUAACGCGUGGGUAACCUGCCUUACACAGGGGGAUAACACUUAGAAAUAGGUGCUAAUACCGCAUAAGCGCACAGUCCCGCAUGGGACAGAUGAAAAACAUUAGUGGUGUAAGAUGGACCCGCGUCUGAUUAGCUUGUUGGCGGGGUAACGGCCCACCAAGGCGACGAUCAGUAGCCGGCCUGAGAGGGUGGACGGCCACAUUGGGACUGAGACACGGCCCAAACUCCUACGGGAGGCAGCAG